rnacentral:piRNA from 1 species
UCUUUUUGUACUAACGGUUGA